GACAGAGGGUGCAAACGUUGCUCGGAAUUACUGGGCGUAAAGCGCGUGUAGGCGGGAAGAUAAGUCGGGUGUGAAAUCCCUGGGCUCAACCUAGGAACUGCAUCCGAAACUGCCUUUCUGGAGUGAUGGAGAGGAAAGCGGAAUUCCCGGUGUAGAGGUGAAAUUCGUAGAUAUCGGGAGGAACACCAGUGGCGAAGGCGGCUUUCUGGCCAUCAACUGACGCUGAGACGCGAAAGCGUGGGGAGCAAACAGG
rnacentral:rRNA from 2 species